rnacentral:rRNA from 1 species
ACCCGCUGAACUUAAGCAUAUCAAUAAGCGGAGGAAAAGAAACCAACAGGGAUUACCUCAGUAACGGCGAGUGAAGCGGUAACAGCUCAAAUUUGAAAUCUGGCUCCUCGGGGCCCGAAUUGUAAUUUGUAGAAGAUGCUUUGGGUCUGGGCCUGGCCUAAGUUCCUUGGAACAGGACGUCGUAGAGGGUGAGAAUCCCGUAUGCGGCUGGCGCCCGUGCCCGUGUAAAGCUCUUUCAACGAGUCGAGUUGUUUGGGAAUGCAGCUCUAAAUGGGUGGUAAAUUUCAUCUAAAGCUAAAUAUUGGCCAGAGACCGAUAGCGCACAAGUAGAGUGAUCGAAAGAUGAAAAGCACUUUGGAAAGAGAGUUAAACAGUACGUGAAAUUGUUGAAAGGGAAGCGCUGGCAACCAGACUUGGGCGCUGUUGAUCCGCUAGGGUUCUCUCUAGGGCACUCGGCAGUGCGCAGGCCAGCAUCGGUUUGGGGGGUUGGAGAAUGGCUGGUGGAAUGUGGCUGUCUUUGGGCAGUGUUAUAGCCACCGGUGGCAUGCAGCCUCCCCGGACCGAGGACCGCGCUUCGGCUAGGAUGCUGGCGUAAUGGUUGUCAGCGACCCGUCUUGAAACACGGACCAAGG